rnacentral:rRNA from 1 species
GGGCCCGCACAAGCAGCGGAGCGUGUGGUUUAAUUCGACGCAACGCGAAGAACCUUACCCAGGCUGGACAUGGCCCUGCACGCCGGUGAAAGCCGGUUCCUUCGAGGGUGGGCCACAGGUGCUGCAUGGUUGUCGUCAGCUCGUGUCGUGAGAUGUUGGGUUAAGUCCCGCAACGAGCGCAACCCGCGUCGGCAGUUAUACGUGUCUGCCGAGACAGCCGCCUUGAUGGGCGGAGGAAGGCGCGGAUGACGUCAAAUCAGCAUGGCCCUUACGCCUGGGGCGACACACACGCUACAAUGGCCAGGACAGCGCGUCGCGCGGCCGCAAGGCCAAGCAAAUCGUCAAACCUGGUCUCAGUGCAGAUCGGGGGCUGCAACUCGCCCCCGUGAAGGCGGAGUUGCUAGUAACCGCGUAUCAGCCACGGCGCGGUGAAUACGUUCCCGGGCCUU